GAUGAACGCUGGCGGCGUGCCUAAUACAUGCAAGUCGAGCGAACAGAUGAGGAGCUUGCUCCUCUGACGUUAGCGGCGGACGGGUGAGUAACACGUGGAUAACCUACCUAUAAGACUGGGAUAACUUCGGGAAACCGGAGCUAAUACCGGAUAAUAUAUUGAACCGCAUGGUUCAAUAGUGAAAGACGGUUUUGCUGUCACUUAUAGAUGGAUCCGCGCCGCAUUAGCUAGUUGGUAAGGUAACGGCUUACCAAGGCAACGAUGCGUAGCCGACCUGAGAGGGUGAUCGGCCACACUGGAACUGAGACACGGUCCAGACUCCUACGGGAGGCAGCAGUAGGGAAUCUUCCGCAAUGGGCGAAAGCCUGACGGAGCAACGCCGCGUGAGUGAUGAAGGUCUUCGGAUCGUAAAACUCUGUUAUUAGGGAAGAACAAAUGUGUAAGUAACUAUGCACGGCUUGACGGUACCUAAUCAGAAAGCCACGGCUAACUACGUG
rnacentral:rRNA from 1 species